rnacentral:rRNA from 1 species
AACGAACGCUGGCGGCGCGCCUAACACAUGCAAGUCGAGCGCGAAAAGGGCAACCUGAGUAGAGCGGCGCACGGGUGCGUAACACGUGGGUAAUCUGCCUUAGAGUCGAGGAUAACCUUCCGAAAGGUUGGCUAAUACUCGGUAAGCUUACGGUGUCUUCGGACGCUGUGGGAAAAGUAGGCCUCUGUUUACAAGCUUACGCUCUGAGAUGAGCCCGCGGCCCAUCAGCUAGUUGGCGGUGUAACGGACCACCAAGGCAACGACGGGUAGGUGGUCUGAGAGGACGAUCAGCCACACUGGAACUGAGACACGGUCCAGACUCCUACGGGAGGCAGCAGUGGGGAAUUUUCCACAAUGGGCGAAAGCCUGAUGGAGCAACGCCGCGUGUGUGAUGAAGGUUUUCGGAUCGUAAAGCACUUUCGACUGGGACGAAAAACCUUUGGCUAACAUACAGGGGCCUGACGGUACCAGGAGAAGAAGCACCGGCUAACUCUGUGCCAGCAGCCGCAGUAACAC